CCCUUAGAUGUCCGGGGCUGCACGCGCGCUACACUGAAGGAAUCAGCGUGCUAAAACCAUUGCCGAAAGGCAUUGGUAAACCCAUUAAAAUCCUACGUGAUUGGGAUCGGGAAUUGCAAUUAUUUCCCUUGAACGAGGAAUUCCCAGUAAGUGUGGGUCAUAAGCUCGCGUUGAUUACGUCCCUGCCCUUUGUACACACCGCCCGUCGCUGCCCGGGACUGAGCCGUUUCGAGAAAAGCGGGGACUGCUGCUGUCGGGGCUUUCGGGCCUUGGCUUCGGUGGAAACCGCUUUAAUCGCAGUGGCUUGAACCGGGCAAAAGUCGUAACA
rnacentral:rRNA from 1 species